rnacentral:rRNA from 1 species
UACGGGGGGGAGCAAGCGUUGUUCGGAUUUACUGGGCGUAAAGGGCGCGUAGGCGCCUCCGCAAGUCAGUUGUGAAAUCUCCGAGCUUAACUCGGAAAGGUCAACUGAUACUGCGGGGCUAGAGUGCGGAAGGGGCAACUGGAAUUCUUGGUGUAGCGGUGAAAUGCGUAGAUAUCAAGAGGAACACCUGCGGCGAAGGCGGCCUGCUGGGCAGUUGCUGACACUGGAGGCGCGACAGCGUGGGGAGCAAA